GCAAGUCGAGGGGUAACAGGUAGCUUGCUAUGCUGACGACCGGCGAACGGGUGCGUAACGCGUAUAGAAUCUGCCUUGUACAGGAGGAUAGCCUUUAGAAAUGAAGAUUAACACUCCAUAAUGUAGGGUUUCGGCAUCGAGACUUUAUUAAACAUUUAUGGGUACAAGAUGACUAUGCGUCCUAUUAGCUAGAUGGUAAGGUAACGGCUUACCAAGGCAACGAUGGGUAGGGGUCCUGAGAGGGAGAUC
rnacentral:rRNA from 1 species